GAACAUGCCCUUCAGUUCGGAACAACCAAGGGAAACUUUGGCUAAUACCGGAUACGCCCGUAAGGGGAGAGAUUCAUCGCUGAAGGAUUGGCCCGCGUCUGAUUAGCUAGUUGGUGGGGUAAUGGCCCACCAAGGCGACGAUCAGUAGCUGGUCUGAGAGGAUGAUCAGCCUCACUGGGACUGAGACACGGCCCAGACUCCUACGGGAGGCAGCAGUGGGGAAUAUUGGACACUGGGCGCAAGCCUGAUCCAGCCAUGCCGCGUGAGUGAUGAAGGCCUUAGGGUUGUAAAGCUCUUUCGUCAGGGAAGAUAAUGACGGUACCUGAAGAAGAAGCCCCGGCUAACUUCGUGCCAGCAGCCGCGGUAAUACGAAGGGGGCUAGCGUUGCUCGGAAUCACUGGGCGUAAAGCGCACGUAGGCGGCUUUCUAAGUCAGGGGUGAAAUCCUGGAGCUCAACUCCAGAACUGCCUUUGAUACUGGAAAGCUUGAGUUCGGGAGAGGUGAGUGGAACUGCGAGUGUAGAGGUGAAAUUCGUAGAUAUUCGCAAGAACACCAGUGGCGAAGGCGGCUCACUGGCCCGAUACUGACGCUGAGGUGCG
rnacentral:rRNA from 1 species